rnacentral:rRNA from 1 species
UACGUAGGGUGCAAGCGUUGUCCGGAAUUAUUGGGCGUAAAGGGCUCGUAGGCGGUUUGUCGCGUCGGGAGUGAAAACUCAGGGCUUAACCCUGAGCCUGCUUCCGAUACGGGCAGACUAGAGGUAUGCAGGGGAGAAUGGAAUUCCUGGUGUAGCGGUGAAAUGCGUAGAUAUCUGGAGGAAUACCGGUGGCGAAGGCGGCAUCCUGGACCGAGAUUGACGCUGAGGAGCGAAAGCUAGGGGAGCAAACGGG